AGAAAUUUAAGUUAUUUAGACUCUAAGCCUUCAAAGCUUACAGUAAGGGACACAACCCUUAAUUUCUG
ensembl:Mt_tRNA